CAGGGUCUCACUGUGUUGCCCAGGCUGGUCUUGAACUUCUGGGCUCAAGCAAUUCUCCCACCUUGACCUCCAAAGUGCUUGGAUUUCAGGCAUGAGCCACCAUGACGAGCCUUAUUACCUUUUUAACUAACAUGAUGCUGCCAAUAAUUCUGAGGUUUUCUCAAAAUAUUAAUACGUCUUUGAAAGAAAAUAGACUGUGAUGUGUACCUGUAAUACGAAUUCAUACUUUUUAAUUAUCUCUAAAGUUUCACUUUAUGGAAAAAGCAUUCAGAAUAGACUUCCCGUCCAAUCUCUCAAGCACGAUUGCAUUGCUUUUCAG
rnacentral:lncRNA from 1 species